rnacentral:rRNA from 1 species
GAUCAUGGCUCAGGAUUAACGCUGGCGGCGUGCCUAAUACAUGCAAGUCGGAUGGUUAGCUUGCUAACCAUGGCGAACGGGUGAGUAACACGUAGGUAACCUGUCUUAAAGACGAGGAUAACCAUUGGAAACGAUGGAUAAUACUGGAUAGGAUAUAUAAGGGCAUCCUGAUAUAUUUAAAGAUUUAUCACUUUAUGAGGGGCCUGCGGCGCAUUAGUUAGAUGGCGGUGUAAAGGACCACCAUGACGAUGAUGCGUAGCCGGACUGAGAGGUUGAACGGCCACAAUGGGACUGAGAACGGCCCAUACUCCUACGGGAGGCAGCAGUAGGGAAUUUUCGGCAAUGGACGGAAGUCUGACCGAGCAACGCCGCGUGAACGAAGAAGUAUUUCGGUAUGUAAAGUUCUUUUAUUUGGGAAGAAAAGAUAAGAUUGACUGUACCAAAUGAAUAAGCUCCGGCUAACUACGUGCCAGCCGCCGC